AUAAUCUCAAUAGAUGGAGGGGACUAUAACCCGCUAUGGUCUAGCUUUUCAGCUUAUCAUUCUAAAUAUUACAUACAACACCGUAUUGGAAUACAGUUUACCAUCGUGGACUUAUCUCUGUUCAUUCGCCACUACUGUGAGAAUCUUCGUUAAUUUCUAUUCCUUCCUAUAAUGAUAUGCUUAAGUUCUAGGAGUAUUCUUUCAUUCGGAAAUGGAGCUAAACUGAGAUGAGGCUCCCCUUAUCGCAUUCGUCUACGUCCUUCCUCGUUACAGAACCCAAGAGAUCCCUUACCAACACUUCAUCUUACUAUUAUUAUUAAUAUAUCUUUAUGAACCUGCCACAGAUUCUUCUAUAGCAGCCUUGUUACGACUUAUAUCUUAUCUAGUUGUUAAUACUCAAGUACCUCACAUUCAAGCAGCAAUUUCAUAUCAACAUCCAUCUUAGAUAGCGACGGGCGGUGUGUACAAAGAAAUCG
rnacentral:rRNA from 1 species